rnacentral:rRNA from 1 species
UACGAAGGACCCGAGCGUUAUCCGGAUUUAUUGGGUUUAAAGGGUGCGUAGGCGGAUUAAUAAGUCAGUGGUGAAAGCCCAUCGCUUAACGAUGGAACUGCCCAUUGAUACUGUUAAUCUUGAGUACAUUUGAUGUGGGCGGAAUGUGUCAUGUAGCGGUGAAAUGCUUAGAUAUGACACAGAACACCGAUUGCGAAGGCAGCUCACAAAACUGUAACUGACGCUGAGG